AGGGGUUCUGGGAGCAAGAGUGGAAGCCAGCGACAAGAUGUGUCAGGCGGCCAGUGGAAGCGCCCAGGUUUAAUGUGGCCUUUCGCUCCUCAGGGAAUUUGAAAGGUCACUGGCAAGGCUGGUUAAAAACAAACCAGUGUCAGCGAACUCUGCCAUGACUCCUAGAGACCACAGGAAGGCUUGGGUAAGGCCUCUCACUCAUUCAACCAAACUUUCCUGCUGCUCUCAUCAAUACCUAUCGGAUUUAUGAUGAUUACCAUGUUGUAGGUGGAAGCAGUUACAGAAUUGUCAGGUGACAGGUGGCAGGUUGGAUUUGACGGGCAGGUCAUAGUUUGCUGACCUUACGUGAGAACAUGAAGAAGGCCUAUGAGGCUGUAGUAUGUCAAGUGAGGGCGUGAGGGUCAGAGGGGCAGGAACUGGGCCCUGGAGGGUCUUGCAAGUGAUUCUCAGAGCAAUGGGAGGCCACUGAAGGGCUCUAAUGUCAUUUCCAUUUUUCAAAGAUCACUCUCGCUGCUCUGUAAAGAGGGGGUUAUGGCAGCAAGAGCAGAAGUGAGAAGAUGUGUCAGGUGGCCAGUGGAAGUGCCCAGGUGAGAGGUGGAGGUGCCCGGAGCUUCAGUGUGGCAGUGAAGAUGGCUGUGGAAGCUGAAGGACACUCUGCUGGGGAAAAAAAGGACUUGGCAGUUAACAAUCAUCCAGGCUUCUCUUCUUUUUUUUCCCCCUUUAUGCUUUACUAUUUAAGCUACUGCAGAAAGACUUAAAAAUGAAAGAAGGUGUAUCCCCAAGAGAACUGGAAACCUACGCCCUCACAAAAACCUACACACAUGUUCACAGCAGCGUUAUUCAAGUAGCCAAAAAGUGGAAACAACGUGCUCAUCCACUGAUGAAUGAGCUUACAUAAAAUGUGGUAUAUCCAUACCAUCGCACAUAAAAAGGAAGAAGAUUCUGACACGCUACAAUGUGGAUGAACCUUGAAAACAUUAUGCAAACUAAAGAAUCCAGUUUCAAAGAUCACAUCCUAUAUAAUUCCAUUUGUAUGAAAUGUCCGGAGCAGGCAAAUCUAGAGAGACAAAGUAGAAGAGUGGCUGCCUUGGGCUGGAUGGAAAUGGGAUGUGAUACAGCCAGGACCAACGGAAUCAGGUGCAGCACCCACUGCCCAGACAAAAGUGAGGAAAAACUGUCACUGUGAACUAUGAGAACAUCAGGGCCUUUUUCGAAGACGGAUACAAUGAUGAUGAUGGUUUUAAGAAUAAAAAUAUUAACUUAUUGAAUGCUU